AUCCAACCGACGAGUCUCAAAUAGGACGAAACGCAUGUCCUGGAU
rnacentral:hammerhead_ribozyme from 1 species